GCUAAACUAUUAGAUGGAUAGCUUGGCUUAAGAAGCGAAGAAAGUCGUGGCAAGCUACGUAAAGCUUCGGCGAGUCGCAUGCAGACGUUGAACCGAAGAUUACUGAAUGAGUAACUCUUUCGUUCUUUAAAGAACGCAUACGCGGGGAAUUGAAACAUCUUAGUACCCGCAGGAAAAGAAAAUAAAAAUGAUUCUCCUAGUAGCAGCGAGCGAAAAGAGAAAAGGGCAAACCGAAUCUUUCUUCGAAAGAAGAACAGAGAUGUGGUGAGAACUUUUGACUAAGUUGUUGAAACGAAUUUUUCUGGAAAGAAAAACCUUAGAGGGUGAUAGUCCCGUAGAUUAAGACAAUAUGUCUUGUUCUCAAAGAGUAGGGCGCCCUGGAUUGGGUGUCUGAAUAUAGCAGAAUUAACUGCUAACCCUAAAUAUUUUCUUAAGUCCGAUAGCGUACAAGUACCGCGAGGGAAAGCUGAAAAGCACUCUUACAAAGAGGGUUAAAAGACUUGAAAUCUAAUAGUGACAAGUUUGUUACAGCUCUAAGGGGUUGUAACGUCCGUUUUGGAAAACGGGCCAGGGAGUUCACUUCAGUGGCGAGGUUAACUAAAGGAAACCGUAGCGAAAGCAAGUAUGAAAAUGCGUUAGUCACUGAUUUGAGACCUGAAGCCAGAUGAUCUAUUCCUGAGCAGGAUGAAGUUUCUCGAAAGAGAAAUGGAGGUCCGAACCAUUGUUGUGUACAUGCACUUGGAUGACUUGGGAAUAGGGGUGAAAAGCCUCUCGAAUCUGGCGAUGGCUGGUUCCUGUUGAAAUAUGCCGGGGUAUAGUCCUAUAUUGCUUGUUAAAGAGGUAAAGUACGGAUAGUUCUUGCAGAGAAUUAUUUCUACGGGGAACUUUCCAACUCAGAACUUUUUAACUGCUGAAUAUAGGAAACAGUUUAGGUGCGUAAGGCACUUCAAACGAGACCAGAACAAAGGUGACUGGAGUUAAGGUCCCAAAAUGUUUGCUAAGUGUUAUUAAACAAAGUUUUUAUUCUAAGACAGUGGGGAUGUAGGUCUAGAAGCCGCCAUCAUUUAAAGAAAGCGUAACAGCUCACCCAUCGAGAAUAAAAGCAUGGAAAAUGGACGGGGCUAAAGCAAACUACCGAGACUCUAGGGGCACUCUGUAUAGAGUUGCGCCGGUAAACAGGCGUCUUAUUUGCGCAGAAGUUUUUCCUUAAGGAAAGAUGGAGCGAAUAGGAUUGAAAAUCCUGGUGAUAGUAGGAUCAGAUCUUUCUGAGAACCGAAAGAUGUCGAAAGGGCAAGGUUUCCUUGGCAAUAUCAAUUAACCAAGGGUUAGUCGGUACCUAAGUUAUAUCUUAACUGAGUAUAACGAAGGACAACAGGUUAAUAUUCCUGUACUAUUUAACUUUAUUGAUUCUUUUAUUUGUUUUCGGAUAAACAAACUAUCGAGAGAUAGAGGGAAAGAGAAAAAAAUGGAUCGUAAUGAUGAGAAGUUUUUGAAUCUUCCUUAAUUUGUUGACUCCAAGAACCAGUGAAAAAAUAAAAGAUAGAAGUUAAAUAGCCGUACCAAGAACUGGCACUGGUGCCCUAGCUGAGAAGGCUAAGACAUGAAAGGUUUAAACUAGUUAAGGGAAUUCGGCAUAAAUCGUCCCGUAUCUUCGGUAGAAGGGAUGUCUAUUCUUUUUUAUGACUCAGUUAUGGGGAAGAGUAGAUCGCAGUAACAAGGACGGCCGGACUGUUUACCAAAAACAUAGCUAAGUGCUAAGCCGAAAGGCUGUGUAUACUUAGUGAGACCUGCCCAGUGGUGGUGUCUAAACUUCCUUUACAAGGGAAUGAAAGCCCAUCAAACGGCGGGCGUAACUAUGACGCUCUUAAGGUAGCGUAAUGCCUUGUCGUCUGAAUGGCGACGUGCAUGAAUGGUUUAACUUGGUUGUCACUGUCCCUAACUAGAACCUUCUGAACUUAUUGACUGGUGUACAGACCAGUAUCGCCUAGUGGGAAGCGAAGACCUUGUAGACCUUUACUGCAACCUGUUGUUUCUUUUUUAUUGGGAGUACUUAGAGUAAGUAGGAGCGUAGAGGCCAAACUCUUGGGUUUGGGGAGCGAAAGUGUAACACUACUUAUUUUCAAUAAAAAAGAUAACUCUCUUUAGGAGAACAGCGAUAGGCAGGCAGUUUGGCUGGGGCGGCACCCGGUCGAAAAGAUAUCGAUCGGGCCCAAAGGCAAGCUCAUCCAGGUUGGAAAUCUGGAGAAGAGUGUAAAAGCAAAAGCUUGCUUGACUGUUUUCUGAAAAGUAAAGAAAGCAGGGGUGAAAGCCGGGUUUAACGAACACUUAUGGUCUUUUAAUGGGACCUAAGUACGACCGAAAAGGUACCUCAAGGAUAACAGGCUCGUCGCGCCCGAUAGUUCACAUUGACGGCGCGGUUUGGUACAUCGCUGUCGGCUCUUCCUAUCCUGGUUGUGCAGCAGCAACCAAGGGUGCCGGAGUUCACGUAUUAAAAGGGAUCGUUAGCUGGGUUAAAUACGUCGCGAGACAGUAUGUAUGAUAUCUACUAGGCGCGCAAAAGUCUGAGUGGAACAAUUCUUUAGUACGAGAGGAACGGGAGUUGGAUGCCUCUGGUUUACCGGUUGUUAUGAGCAGGCCGGGCAGCUACGCAUUAACUGAUAAGUACUGAAAGCAUCUAAGUACGAAGCAGUCCGCAAGACGAGACUUUAAAGGCCGCCAAAAAAGAUGGCGUCGAUAGAGAUGGGGUGUAAGCAGAAAGCCUCGGCGAUCUGUUCAGCCCGCAUCAACUAAAAGCCUUUUUCUACAUUU
rnacentral:rRNA from 1 species